ACUAGAGGAUGAAUCAAUCUCUGUGAGCACUCUCUCCUUCUCUCCAACAGCCGAUGAUCUAUUUUAACAGCUGGGGCAAUCAGGGAAUCAUGGUUGGUGGGGAGAUUUAGAGGGGCAAGUCGGUCUACAGUGUCCUCUGUUAAACAAUGAAGAAAAGCAUAAGCAAAAAAGUGAUUAUUCCGCUGGCUAUUGUCUGCCAGGGUGCAGAAUUCUAUGGCAUAGUCUGUAUCUAGCUCUGCCUUGAUGGAGGUUCAGGAGACCUUUAGCCAUAUCUCUGCCUGGUGUACCGUGGUCAAACACCCGCUGGAGAGAGGCAGAAAAGUCUGUGUCUGACAAAUAGCAGACUGUCUAGCCUAUUCAGCUGUGGCCUACUCUCAUGCUCUUCCAGUCAGGCUCAUGAACAGGUGCAUGGGGCUCAGGUAACACCUCCUCCAGUGAAGGCUGAGCCAGAGUAGUGAAAGUUUCUGGAAUGGGAGUGGCAGCAAUGAUAUCAUGUAUCUGCUGUUUCUGGUUGAAGAGGGAGCCCACCCUGGUCUCCAGAGAAGAUUUGAAACUCCCUGGAUGGGCCUGCAGUUGCUGCAUGGUGGCUGAGGUCAUACACUGUCAAAAAACUGGGACACAAUAAUGGCUUGGAAGCUACUAUGCAUGGAGAACUAAGACAAUCUGGCAAACAGUUUUCCUGUACAUGACCAUGAUGCAGCAAGACUGAACCAGUGGGAGGUGAACAAGAGGCGGAAGGACUGGAAACCUGCACAAUGCCUUCAACAAGAACUCAAAGGGGCAGGACUGCUGAGUUAUGGCUACUGUGUCCACAGGGGCCAAUGGGCAAGGCAGCAGUAAUGAACAGCACAGCUUCUCGUCUCUCCACUCCAAAUUACCCUGCCGAGGCUGGGAGAGGGGAUGGGCAGGAGGAGGAAGACACCCCCAAGCAAAGUUAUGCUAGUUGAACCACUCAAUCACCUCAAAUUAACAUCUUAAAACUCAGUGCUGGCCUCCGGAGAGCUUUGCAAAAAUUCUGCUAGUCUACAAAAAAAAACAUGCUAGUGGAGAGCUGACAAACUACUGCCUCUUCUGAUUUAUUCCUUUAUUUUUCUUGGAGUCCUACUUGACAUCUUUUGCUCUGAUUCCCAUGCCAAUCAUUCUUACUCACUCUCAUCAACAUUGCUAGAUAGGGCAUUUUCCGCCUUGGUCUAGUUCAGACAUGCUAUAGACCUGUUAAAUUGCCACCAGAUUGUAGGCUUUAACAACAACAGUUGGUGUGGAGUGGUUUAGUGUUGUGUUUAUGUGCCACUAACCAUGGCAAAACAUAAUGUUUACACUGUUCAUCUCACUACUAUUUUAGUAACGCAAAGAUUUUACAUGAAUUUACUCAGUGAUGUAGGUGACUGGCAACCAGGCAUUCCCAUCCUGCCCAGUCCUGACAUUACUUUUCCUGUCCUAUAACCACUUGCUGCACCUGCAGUGAUCAGAUGAUUGGCACUUUUUGUUGGUGAAACAUGAAACAUUGGCUGCAUCAAAUAUUAUAUUUUCUUAAAGUUUGUGCAAUUUGCAAUUU